GCCGAAGUGGCGGAAUGGUAGACGCAGCGGACUCAAAAUCCGCCGCCCUUAAAAGCGUGUGGGUUCGAGUCCCACCUUCGGCACCA
rnacentral:tRNA from 25 species